rnacentral:rRNA from 1 species
UUUGGUCUAUUUUUCAUUAUCGACUACGAUUCUAAUACU